GCCACCGUUCCGCGGAACGGGACACGAUUUUGCGAAGAUCGUCGGCAGAGGUUCAACUCCUCUCGGUGGCACCA
rnacentral:tRNA from 1 species